AAUAGAUACCCGGGUAGUCCAUGCCGUAAACGUUGGGCACUAGGUGUGGGGCUCAUUCCACGAGUUCCGUGCCGCAGCAAACGCAUUAAGUGCCCCGCCUGGGGAGUACGGCCGCAAGGCUAAAACUCAAAGGAAUUGACGGGGGCCCGCACAAGCGGCGGAGCAUGCGGAUUAAUUCGAUGCAACGCGAAGAACCUUACCAAGGCUUGACAUGCACGGGAAGCCACCAGAGGUGGUGGUCUCUUUGGACACUCGUGCACAGGUGGUGCAUGGUUGUCGUCAGCUCGUGUCGUGAGAUGUUGGGUUAAGUCCCGCAACGAGCGCAACCCUCGUCCCAUGUUGCCAGCGGGUUAUGCCGGGGACUCAUGGGAGACUGCCGGGGUCAACUCGGAGGAAGGUGGGGAUGACGUCAAAUCAUCAUGCCCCUUAUGUCUUGGGCUUCACGCAUGCUACAAUGGCCGGUACAAAGGGCUGCGAUACCGUAAGGUGGAGCGAAUCCCGAAAAAGCCGGUCUCAGUUCGGAUUGGGGU
rnacentral:rRNA from 1 species